UAGGGAAUCUUCCACAAUGGACGCAAGUCUGAUGGAGCAACGCCGCGUGAGUGAAGAAGGUCUUCGGAUCGUAAAGCUCUGUUGUAAGAGAAGAACGUGUGUGAGAGUGGAAAGUUCACACAGUGACGGUAACUUACCAGAAAGGGACGGCUAACUACGUGCCAG
rnacentral:rRNA from 1 species